UAAAUGUAAAUAAACAUAAAGUGAAAGAUAAUUUGCUCCUUGUUGGUUAUUGAUGUAUAAAACAAAAAAAUUUUUCUAUUUUGCUGAUUGGUUUUGUUGCUGCUGAAGAAGAAGACGCGUUCGAGACCAAGGGGAGUGACGCACGAAGGAGCUGUGACAGAGAAGGAGGGCACACUGUCUCAUCACCCACGCUGCCGUUGUUUCCAUCACCGUCAUGCUUCAUGAUCACCUUUGUCUCUUUAAAACCAAAAAAAGGGAAUCAAAUAGUGCGUCUCUCUGUAGCUGCCACUAUCUUAGACAUUGAGCUACACUACAGAGACAACAGUGAAGAAAACAUGAGGACCUACACAAUGCUUAAAGAUUCAUGCAAGACAGUUGGAAGAUAGAGAAGAAAUUACUCUAGAUAUUGAAGGAGAGACAACUGGUCCUACUGAUGAAGAUGUAAACAACUUGAACAAAUUUUUGGGCGCAGUGGCAAGGAAUUCAGAUUUUUGUCCAUUAAUAUACACAAACUGGAAGGGGAUUAAAGAUAAAGAAGCUAUUUGGGAAUAUGUUCAAGUGAGAAUAUUAGUCUUGUUUUUUUUAAAAACUUA